rnacentral:rRNA from 1 species
ACUAAAGCUAGCCCAACUACAGACUAAAAUACAACUAACACAUAAACAUAAAACAAAACAUUUACUAACUAAAGUAUAGGAGAUAGAAAUAUUUUUAAGGCGCUAUAGAGAAAGUACCGCAAGGGAACGAGUGAAAGAAAAAUUUAAAGUAAUAAAUAGCAAAGCUUACCCCUUUUACCUUUUGCAUAAUGAGUUAACUAGAAAACCUUAGCAAAGAGAACUUAAGUUAAGUACCCCGAAACCAGACGAGCUACCUGAGAGCAGCAUACAAGAGCGAACUCGUCUAUGUAGCAAAAUAGUGAGAAGACUUUCAGGUAGAGGUGAAAAGCCUAACGAGCCUGGUGAUAGCUGGUUGUCCAGAAAAAGAAUAUAAGUUCAACUUUAACCCAUGCAAAACAACACCAUGAAAAUUAUAAUGCAGGAUUAAAUGAUAAUCUAAAGAGGUACAGCCCUUUAGAUACAGGAUACAACCUUAAACGGAGAGUAAGUAUAAAAAUUAACCAUAGUUGGCCUAAAAGCAGCCACCAAUUAAGAAAGCGUUAAAGCUCAACAAUACACAUAUUGUAAUUCCAAAAGUUCAACUAACUCCCGAACUUCAACUGGACUAAUCUAUAUAAAUAGAAGAAAUACUGUUAAUAUGAGUAACAAGAAUUAUUUCUCCCAGCACAAGUCUAUAUCAGGUCGGAUAUCCCACUGAUAGUUAACAAACUUAUAAUAAAAAACUAAACAUAAAAUACUUAUUACACAGAUUGUUAAUCCAACACAGGUGUGCUAAACUAGGGAAAGAUUAAAAGAAGUAAAAGGAACUCGGCAAACAGAAACCCCGCCUGUUUACCAAAAACAUCACCUCUGGCAUUAAUAGUAUCAGAGGCACUGCCUGCCCGGUGACAUAAGUUAAACGGCCGCGGUAUCCUGACCGUGCAAAGGUAGCAUAAUCAUUUGUUCUUUAAUUAAGGACUUGUAUGAAUGGCCACACGAGGGUUUAACUGUCUCUUACUUCCGAUCAGUGAAAUUGACCUUCCCGUGAAGAGGCGGGAAUAAGAAAAUAAGACGAGAAGACCCUAUGGAGCUUUAAUCAGCUGGCUCAAGAAAACAACAUUACAACCCGACAGGCAACAACACUACCGUAACUGAGCUAGUAAUUUCGGUUGGGGUGACCUCGGAGUACAAAAUAACCUCCGAGAGAUUUCAGUUGAGACCUACAAGUCAAGACCUGUAAAAAAUCACAAUUGAUCCAAUUAACUUUGAUCAACGGAACAAGUUACCCUAGGGAUAACAGCGCAAUCCUAUUUGAGAGUUCAUAUCGACAAUAGGGUUUACGACCUCGAUGUUGGAUCAGGACAUCCCAAUGGUGCAACCGCUAUUAAUGGUUCGUUUGUUCAACGAUUAAAGUCCUACGUGAUCUGAGUUCAGACCGGAGUAAUCCAGGUCGGUUUCUAUCUAUUGUAUAUUUCUCCCAGUACGAAAGGACAAGAGAAAUGAGGCCAACCCUGCACGGGAGCCUUAAAAUUAAUAGAUGAUAUAAUCUUAAUCUAGUAAUUUAUAAUAACUUUGCCCUAGAAAUAGGGCCUC